rnacentral:rRNA from 1 species
UGGGGAAUAUUGCACAAUGGGCGAAAGCCUGAUGCAGCAGCGCCGCGUGAGUGAUGAAGGCCUUCGGGUUGUAAAGCUCUGUCUUCUGGGACGAUAAUGACGGUACCAGAGGAGGAAGCCACGGCUAACUACGUGCCAGCAGCCGCGGUAAUACGUAGGUGGCAAGCGUUGUCCGGAUUUACUGGGCGUAAAGGAUGCGUAGGCGGAUACUUAAGUCAGAUGUGAAAAUCCCGGGCUUAACUUGGGAACUGCAUUUGAAACUGGGUAUCUAGAGUGCGGGAGAGGAAAGUGGAAUUCCUAGUGUAGCGGUGAAAUGCGUAGAGAUUAGGAAGAACACCAGUGGCGAAGGCGACUUUCUGGACCGUAACUGACGCUGAGGCAUGAAAGCGUGGGGAGCAAACA